rnacentral:lncRNA from 10 species
GUCCCGAGAUGCCGGCGGCGGCGCAGGGCCGGCGCAGGGUCGUGGCGUAGGCCGGAGGGCAGGCCCACCAGGGCGGCGCGGCCUCGGGUGGCGCGGCGGGGCCGUAGAAGCGGUGGUAUUCCCGUGGGGCCGCCCACUCGCCCGCAUGCAGGCUCCCGGGCCGGCUGCGGAAGCUGUGGGCCUGGACUGGGGGUAGCAGCAGAGGGGCGGCCAGGAGUUCAGUGGCAUGACCAGGGCUCACUGCAACCUUGAUCUGGGCUCAAGUGAUCCUCCUACCUCAGCUUCCUGAGUAGCUAGGACCACAGGUGUGCACCAACCACACCCGACUAAUUUUUGUAGAGAUGAGAUCCCACUAUGUUACCCAGGCUGGUCUUGAACUCCUGGGCUCAGGUGAUCAUCCUGCCUUGGCUUCCCAAAGUACUGGGAUUAUAGGCUUGAGCCACCGUGCCUGGCCUGUGAUCAGAAUUCUCAUUUUUUUAGUCACUAAAAAUGCUGGGGGGCACUCCAUUCUCCAUUAUGUGAUUAGUUCACAUUGCAUGCUUGUAUCAAAACAUCAUAUAUACCCCACAAAUAUAUACAAAAAACUUUAAAAUUUUAAGUAUUAAUUGCUCAGGAAAAAAUUAAAAUGCUGGGGUGCUGAAAUCUCAAGGGCCCCAUUACAAAACUCCUUAGGAACCUCGCCCUCUCUCUGCUGUAAGGACUGGUUCCAGAAUGAGAGAAUUUAAAAGACAUUCCCCCCCCAAAAUGUUCAUAAUGUCACCCCGGAAACCUGCGAAUAUGUUAUAUUACAUGACCAGGGAGAAGUAAGGUUGCAGAUGGCAGUAAGGUUGCUAAUGGGCUGACCUUAAGAUAAGGAGAUGAUCCUGGAUUAUCUGGGUGGACCCAAUGUAAUCACAAGGGUCCUUAACUGUGGAAUAGUGAGGUGGCUGAGUCAGAGGCAGAGUGAUGCAAUGACUGAAAGACUUAACCAGCCAUCACCGGCUUUGAAUACGGAAGACGGUCAUGAGCCAGGGAAUGCAGGCAGGCUCUGGGAGCUGAAAAAAGCAAGAAAAUGGAUUCUCCCCUGGAGCCUCCAGAAGGGAUGCGGUCCUGCCAACCCCUUGUCAGUGAGCCAUUUCAGAUUUCUGACUUCCAGGACUGUAAGAAAAUAAACUUGUCUUGUUUUCA